GGGACCUGCAUAGAUCUAGGGUUUUUAUGGUUUGAAUACAAAUGGAGAGGAGUCUAGAAGUUCAAGGUGUGUCUCACUCUUCCCUGCUUCAUUUCCAACUCUUCCAUAGGUCCCCCUGUGUCAUCUGCAGUGAACAAACCCAAAACACUUGAGUCUUAAUGGGAAUUAUGCAAUAGGCAUUUAGAGAAAGGAAGUCAGAAGGGGCCAGUGAAUUUUUUCUUGACAUAAGCUAUUGCCUUGCAUUCUGUUCCAGAGAGAUGCAGGGCUGAAUGCCCUCUCCCAGGCCAGCAUUUGUCCAUUCUCCGAAAGCAUUCUGCAGGCCAGUUUGCUUUUAGCUCAGCCAAUGCCAGGGUUUGAUGAUUAACCCAUUUGCCCAGGCAUUAUUGACAGGAUAAGUCCUGGCAUUCAGACAGGUCUGGUGAAGUGACCAGGUACUCUGGCCCAGAAGUUCUCUGUCGGCUCCCCCCGCAGGCUCCAAUUCAGGUACUGUAUGUUAUUCUCUUGUUCCUCUUGCCACUGGCUUUUUCCUUAGUCUUAAGUUCCAAGGAAUUGUUCCCCUGUGUUUUUUUAUUUUGCUGACUUAUUCAAG
rnacentral:lncRNA from 1 species